rnacentral:rRNA from 1 species
CCCUUAGAUGUUCUGGGCCGCACGCGCGCUACACUGACGAUGCAACGAGUUUUUCCUUCGCCGAAAGGUGUGGGUAAUCUUUUGAAACAUCGUCGUGCUGGGGAUAGAUCAUUGCAAUUUUUGAUCUUGAACGAGGAAUUCCUAGUAAGCGCGAGUCAUCAGCUCGCGUUGAUUACGUCCCUGCCCUUUGUACACACCGCCCGUCGCUACUACCGAUUGAAUGGUUUAGUGAGGACUCCUGAUUGGCGCCGCCGCCCCGGCAACGGAGCAGCGGACUGCCGAAAAGUUGUUCAAACUUGAUCAUUUAGAGGAAGUAAAAGUCGUAACA